GAUGAACGCUGGCGGCGUGCUUAACACAUGCAAGUCGAACGGUGAAGCAGAGCUUGCGCUGUGUAUCAGUGGCGAACGGGUGAGUAACACGUGAGAAACAUGCCCCUGACUCUGGGGUAAGCGCUGAAAACGGCGGCUAAUACAGGAGAUGAGCUGCCACGGCACGGGCAGCGGUUGGAAAGAUUUCGCGGUCUGGGAUAGGCUCACGGCCUAUCAGCUUGUUGGUGAGGUAAUGGCUCACCAAGGCGUCGACGGGUAGCCGGCCUGAGAGGGUGACCGGCCACACUGGGACUGAGACACGGCCCAGACUCCUACGGGAGGCAGCAGUGGGGAAUAUUGCACAAUGGGCGGAAGCCUGAUGCAGCAACGCCGCGUGAGGGAUGACGGCCUUCGGGUUGUAAACCUCUUUUAGCAGGGAAGAAGCGAAAGUGACGGUACCUGCAGAAAAAGCGCCGGCUAACUACGUG
rnacentral:rRNA from 1 species